AUGCAGUGCCUACCUUGGCGUUCCUUCAUGGGGUGGCGCAUGGCAGGGCUGGCCCCAGGGACAUGCUCAGCACCCCCCGCUGUCCUCGUCUCCAUCCAGUACAGCAUCACGCUGCCCUGCCAGACACCAAACUCAGACAGACACUGCCGUGGUACAAAUGCAAUUUGUAUUUUCAGUCCGUGCUGGGAAAACCCCCAUCCAUCAGUCUUGGGAGUGGGCAGCAGAUCCCACAGCUCAGUCCUGCUCCACCAGCAGAGCCCCUCCAGCUCCCAGCCCCAGGGACAUGCCCCCAGCGUGGGCAGGCAGAACCCUGCUCCUGCCCUAUCCGUCCCUUUGGGGCCAUGGCAUAGUGACACGCGGUGCCCCAUGGGACACAGGCGAUGCCCAGCUCCAGGCUUGCCUCCCUCGGGCACUGCCCCAGCUCCUGCGCUGCCUCACCUGCUCAGGGCUCACCAGCAGCGCCAGGGCUGCCCGGCUUCCCAGGCUCUCUCCCAAGCUGGCAUCUCUACCCUGCACUGCAGAGCACCUGGGGGCACAAACCCAGAACUAUUUAUCGAGGAUGAGGAAGAGCAGCACCAUCAGGACGAUGGGGAGGAAGAUGAGGAGCAGGCUGAAAAACUCGGCCACCAGCAGCAGGGCCAGCAGCAGGAGGUAGCAGCAGCGGCAGCGGCGCUCCAGCCGCCCCAGCCCGCGGAUGAGGCAGGGCGGGUAGCGCACACAGGGCAGGCACCCGAACAUGCGGCUGGUGUGGAAGCGCACCUGGAAGUGAUGCUCGAGGGCACCGGUGAGGCCUGGGCGCCGCGGUGGCAGCACAGGGGGCCGGGGAACUGCCAGGGCAGAGGUGGGGCUGGGCUGGGCGUGCAGCAGCAGCAGCUCCUCCUGCAGCUUGCAGAUCUCCCACUCCAGCAUGGGGGUCUUCUGGCGGCAGAUGGGGCAGCGCACGCGGCCGAACUCAGCGCCGGCGGCUGUGUCCAUGAUGGCACGCAGACAGGCACGGCACAGCCCGUGGUUGCAGUUGAGCAGGGCUGGUUUGUGCCGCUGGUCAUCAUAGGGCUCCGUGCAGAUGGGGCACUCGUCCUCGCCGCCCACCGGGGUGUGGCACGGCUCUGGCACUGUCGUCUCGCUGUUUGA
rnacentral:lncRNA from 1 species